ensembl:lncRNA
GGGGAGGAAAAACACAUCUUUUAUCGGGGAAACGGUUGAUAAAAUAUUUGUACUAAAAAAGGUUGACGCCCAGAACCGACAGUAAGUCAUGAAGGAGGACGCGAAGGGAGGGACGGAUGUUGAACGCAUUGCUGAGGAUCUGAAGUGUGUCGUCUCCCCCCCCCCCCACGUCUAACCGCCGUUUGACCAUAUUCCUGCAGCCUUAAGCGUCUAUAUUCUUUUUGGCCUUGGCUCCAUUGUUUCACCGACAGAUGUUGAGUCUCAGCUUGGCGGAGGAGGAGGAAGCGUGAGGCAAAACGUUUCUUUCGUAGCUGUGAAACAGGAGGCGGGAGGACUGAAGCCGGCGAGGCAGCUUCAUGCUUCACGACUCGCGCUGCUCUUCUCCUCCGUGCACCAUGUGGUGGGCUUCAACUAUUUCAAGCUCUCCUCCGCAGCAGCCCCCCCUUGAUUGUGAAAAGUGAACAUUUGUUGAGGCAGCGAGCCGAAGACGAGAGUUAUUUACCCACGACACCGUGAGGGAACGAGGGAACAAGAGGCGCUUCAUCCAGGAUCUCGUCUGCAACGCGUCUGAUGAGACGCCUCAAACACCUCGAUGAAAAGGAUGUGAGGAAACACGUGAAUGUCAUGUUUUCACCCGUUUUCUUCUUCCGCUGGAAUGAACGAAUGAAUAAAUAUUCAUCCGCCGAGGUCAAGCCUCAUUUCACGGACCUGCAGCUCAGCCGCUCACGUUACAAACCGUCCUAAACGAGGAGGCCUUCGGGAAUAACUGAAUGGACCUUUGUGUUUCUGUGAUCUGCACUGAGGUGUUUCCAUGGCGAUCGGACGUGUCCCUCACACCUCACGGACUCAGGUCGGACCUCGGCGACACGACGCCCGUCGCUUGGCUCGAUGUCGGGUCUCCACAACGUCUGGAGUUGGGGUGAAUUCCUCGCCGAGCCCCCCCAGGAUGAGGUCAACGCACGACAUAAUCAAUGAAAAACGAGAUUCCCAGAGCGGUGCCUGGCCUUCGCACACACACACACACACACACACACACACACACA